AGCAUAGAGAGCUUGCUCUCUGAUGGCGAGUGGCGAACGGGUGAGUAAUAUAUCGGAACGUGCCUAGUAAUGGGGAAUAACUAGCUGAAAGGUUAGCUAAUGCCGCAUACGACUACGGGUGAAAGCAGGGGAUCUUCGGACCUUGCGUUAUUAGAGCGGCCGAUAUCUGAUUAGCUUGUUGGUGGGGUAAUGGCCUACCAAGGCGACGAUCAGUAGCUGGUCUGAGAGGACGAUCAGCCACACUGGAACUGAGACACGGUCCAGACUCCUACGGGAGGCAGCAGUGGGGAAUUUUGGACAAUGGGGGCAACCCUGAUCCAGCCAUUCCGCGUGAGCGAAGAAGGCCUUCGGGUUGUAAAGCUCUUUCGCAAGAGAAGAAAACUUGCUAUCUAAUAAAUAGUAAGUAUAACGGUAUCUUGACAAGAAGCACCGGCUAACUACGUG
rnacentral:rRNA from 1 species